GCCGAAGUGGCGGAAUUGGCAGACGCACUUGACUCAAAAUCAAGCGUGGUUUACCCCACGUGCCGGUUCGACCCCGGCCUUCGGCACCA
rnacentral:tRNA from 1 species